UUAAGCGACUAAGCGUACACGGUGGAUGCCCUGGCAGUCAGAGGCGAUGAAGGACGUGCUAAUCUGCGAUAAGCGUCGGUGAGGUGAUAUGAACCGUUAUAACCGGCGAUUUCCGAAUGGGGAAACCCAGUGUGAUUCGACACACUAUCAUUAACUGAAUCCAUAGGUUAAUGAGGCGAACCGGGGGAACUGAAACAUCUAAGUACCCCGAGGAAAAGAAAUCAACCGAGAUUCCCCCAGUAGCGGCGAGCGAACGGGGAGGAGCCCAGAGCCUGAAUCAGUGUGUGUGUUAGUGGAAGCGUCUGGAAAGGCGCGCGAUACAGGGUGACAGCCCCGUACACAAAAAUGCACAUACUGUGAGCUCGAUGAGUAGGGCGGGACACGUGGUAUCCUGUCUGAAUAUGGGGGGACCAUCCUCCAAGGCUAAAUACUCCUGACUGACCGAUAGUGAACCAGUACCGUGAGGGAAAGGCGAAAAGAACCCCGGCGAGGGGAGUGAAAAAGAACCUGAAACCGUGUACGUACAAGCAGUGGGAGCCUCUUAAUGGGGUGACUGCGUACCUUUUGUAUAAUGGGUCAGCGACUUAUAUUCUGUAGCAAGGUUAACCGAAUAGGGGAGCCGAAGGGAAACCGAGUCUUAACUGGGCGUUAAGUUGCAGGGUAUAGACCCGAAACCCGGUGAUCUAGCCAUGGGCAGGUUGAAGGUUGGGUAACACUAACUGGAGGACCGAACCGACUAAUGUUGAAAAAUUAGCGGAUGACUUGUGGCUGGGGGUGAAAGGCCAAUCAAACCGGGAGAUAGCUGGUUCUCCCCGAAAGCUAUUUAGGUAGCGCCUCGUGAAUUCAUCUCCGGGGGUAGAGCACUGUUUCGGCAAGGGGGUCAUCCCGACUUACCAACCCGAUGCAAACUGCGAAUACCGGAGAAUGUUAUCACGGGAGACACACGGCGGGUGCUAACGUCCGUCGUGAAGAGGGAAACAACCCAGACCGCCAGCUAAGGUCCCAAAGUCAUGGUUAAGUGGGAAACGAUGUGGGAAGGCCCAGACAGCCAGGAUGUUGGCUUAGAAGCAGCCAUCAUUUAAAGAAAGCGUAAUAGCUCACUGGUCGAGUCGGCCUGCGCGGAAGAUGUAACGGGGCUAAACCAUGCACCGAAGCUGCGGCAGCGACACUAUGUGUUGUUGGGUAGGGGAGCGUUCUGUAAGCCUGUGAAGGUGGACUGUGAGGUAUGCUGGAGGUAUCAGAAGUGCGAAUGCUGACAUAAGUAACGAUAAAGCGGGUGAAAAGCCCGCUCGCCGGAAGACCAAGGGUUCCUGUCCAACGUUAAUCGGGGCAGGGUGAGUCGACCCCUAAGGCGAGGCCGAAAGGCGUAGUCGAUGGGAAACAGGUUAAUAUUCCUGUACUUGGUGUUACUGCGAAGGGGGGACGGAGAAGGCUAUGUUGGCCGGGCGACGGUUGUCCCGGUUUAAGCGUGUAGGCUGGUUUUCCAGGCAAAUCCGGAAAAUCAAGGCUGAGGCGUGAUGACGAGGCACUACGGUGCUGAAGCGACAAAUGCCCUGCUUCCAGGAAAAGCCUCUAAGCAUCAGGUAACAUCAAAUCGUACCCCAAACCGACACAGGUGGUCAGGUAGAGAAUACCAAGGCGCUUGAGAGAACUCGGGUGAAGGAACUAGGCAAAAUGGUGCCGUAACUUCGGGAGAAGGCACGCUGAUAUGUAGGUGAAGCGACUUGCUCGUGGAGCUGAAAUCAGUCGAAGAUACCAGCUGGCUGCAACUGUUUAUUAAAAACACAGCACUGUGCAAACACGAAAGUGGACGUAUACGGUGUGACGCCUGCCCGGUGCCGGAAGGUUAAUUGAUGGGGUUAGCGGUAACGCGAAGCUCUUGAUCGAAGCCCCGGUAAACGGCGGCCGUAACUAUAACGGUCCUAAGGUAGCGAAAUUCCUUGUCGGGUAAGUUCCGACCUGCACGAAUGGCGUAAUGAUGGCCAGGCUGUCUCCACCCGAGACUCAGUGAAAUUGAACUCGCUGUGAAGAUGCAGUGUACCCGCGGCAAGACGGAAAGACCCCGUGAACCUUUACUAUAGCUUGACACUGAACAUUGAGCCUUGAUGUGUAGGAUAGGUGGGAGGCUUUGAAGUGUGGACGCCAGUCUGCAUGGAGCCGACCUUGAAAUACCACCCUUUAAUGUUUGAUGUUCUAACGUGGGCCCCUUACCGGGGUUGCGGACAGUGUCUGGUGGGUAGUUUGACUGGGGCGGUCUCCUCCUAAAGAGUAACGGAGGAGCACGAAGGUUGGCUAAUCCUGGUCGGACAUCAGGAGGUUAGUGCAAUGGCAUAAGCCAGCUUGACUGCGAGCGUGACGGCGCGAGCAGGUGCGAAAGCAGGUCAUAGUGAUCCGGUGGUUCUGAAUGGAAGGGCCAUCGCUCAACGGAUAAAAGGUACUCCGGGGAUAACAGGCUGAUACCGCCCAAGAGUUCAUAUCGACGGCGGUGUUUGGCACCUCGAUGUCGGCUCAUCACAUCCUGGGGCUGAAGUAGGUCCCAAGGGUAUGGCUGUUCGCCAUUUAAAGUGGUACGCGAGCUGGGUUUAGAACGUCGUGAGACAGUUCGGUCCCUAUCUGCCGUGGGCGCUGGAGAACUGAGGGGGGCUGCUCCUAGUACGAGAGGACCGGAGUGGACGCAUCACUGGUGUUCGGGUUGUCAUGCCAAUGGCACUGCCCGGUAGCUAAAUGCGGAAGAGAUAAGUGCUGAAAGCAUCUAAGCACGAAACUUGCCCCGAGAUGAGUUCUCCCUGACUCCUUGAGAGUCCUGAAGGAACGUUGAAGACGACGACGUUGAUAGGCCGGGUGUGUAAGCGCAGCGAUGCGUUGAGCUAACCGGUACUAAUGAACCGUGAGGCUUAACCUU
rnacentral:rRNA from 2 species